AUGGCGGCGGCAACAUUGGGAAAGGCAGGGGAGGAGGAGGCAGUGGCCGCUGAUGGAGAGGUGCCUCUCCUGCCAUCAAGAUGCAUCCAGAAUGGUGAUGACGAGCGGCCGAUCAGUGUGGCCAUGGUCUUACGAACGACAGAGGCUUCUCUCCCCCCGCCUCUCCUCUUGCCUCUCCUCCUGCCUCUCCUCCAGGUCACAGCUGAACCUCAUUGGAAAGAGAUCGGCCUGCAGGUGCAGAUGCGUGUGCGAGGAGCGCCGUCGGUCGACCAGCGUUCUUUCUUCGUCAGGAAGGGUGCAGCCUGCUACUCAAGCCCCUCUCCUUCGCUCCUUGCAGAGGAGAGGCAUGGGCACCACCACACUUGA
rnacentral:rRNA from 1 species